UACGAAGGGGGCUAGCGUUGUUCGGAAUUACUGGGCGUAAAGCGCACGUAGGCGGAUUCGUAAGUCAGGGGUGAAAUCCCGGGGCUCAACCUCGGAACUGCCUUUGAUACUGCGGGUCUUGAGUCCGAUAGAGGUGGGUGGAAUUCCUAGUGUAGAGGUGAAAUUCGUAGAUAUUAGGAAGAACACCGGUGGCGAAGGCGGCCCACUGGAUCGGUACUGACGCUGAGGUGCGAAAGCGUGGGGAGCAAACAGG
rnacentral:rRNA from 1 species